GCCCACCUAGCUCAGCGGUAGAGCGUUGGACCUUUAAUCCAAUGGUCGUGGGUUCGAUCCCCACGGUGGGUG